rnacentral:rRNA from 1 species
CUUGAAACACGGACCAAGGAGUCUAGCAUGUGCGCAAGUCAUUGGGACUAGCGAAACCUAAAGGCAAAAUGAAAGUGAAGGCGCGCCUUGCGCGCGCCAAGGGAGGAUGGGCCGCGUUACGUCGCGGCCCCGCACUCCCGGGGCGUUUCGUUCUCAUUGCGAGAUGAGGCGCACCCAGAGCGUACACGCUGGGACCCGAAAGAUGGUGAACUAUGCCUGGUCAGGACGAAGUCAGGGGAAACCCUGAUGGAGGUCCGUAGCGAUUCUGACGUGCAAAUCGAUCGUCGGAACUGGGUAUAGGGGCGAAAGACUAAUCGAACCAUCUAGUAGCUGGUUCCCUCCGAAGUUUCCCUCAGGAUAGCUGGCGCUCGCCUUGCGAGUCUCAUCCGGUAAAGCGAAUGAUUAGAGGCAUUGGGGUCGAAACGGCCUCAACCUAUUCUCAAACUUUAAAUGGGUGAGAUCUCCGGCUUGCUUGAAAAGUGAAGCCGCGAGAUAUAUUAAUUCGGAUCAGAGUGCCAAGUGGGCCAUUUUUGGUAAGCAGAACUGGCGCUGUGGGAUGAACCAAACGCAGAGUUAAAGCGCCCAAAUCGACGCUUAUGGGAUACCAUGAAAGGCGUUGGUAACUUAAGACAGCAGGACG